rnacentral:rRNA from 1 species
CGCCUCUUGCCUAAAUAUAAGAGGUCCAGCCUGCCCAGUGACUCUGUUCAACGGCCGCGGUAUCCUAACCGUGCGAAGGUAGCGUAAUCACUUGUUCUUUAAAUGAGGACUAGUAUGAAUGGCACCACGAAGGUUAUACUGUCUCCUCUUUUUAAUCAGUGAAACUAAUCUCCCCGUGAAGAAGCGGGGAUAAAUAUAUAAGACGAGAAGACCCUAUGGAGCUUUAAACUAUGUGACACUUGCACUAAUCCAACACAAAUUUCAGAAAAAUAUCUUCUACCCAUGCAAAAUUGUCACCAGUUUUAGGUUGGGGUGACCACGGAGCAAAAAACAACCUCCACAUUGAAAGGAGCCUACUCCUUAGCUAAGAGUCACAUCUCCACGCAUCAUUACAAUGACAUUAAUUGACCCAAUAUAUUGAUCAACGAACCAAGUUACCCUAGGGAUAACAGCGCAAUCCUCUUCAAGAGCCCCUAUCGACAAGUGGGUUUACGACCUCGAUGUUGGAUCAGGGUAUCCCGGUGGUGCAGCCGCUACCAAAGGUUCGUUUGUUCAACGAUUAAAACCCU